UCUUAAUAGACUGCAGUAAAACUUUUAACAGCUAUAAAUUUACCCUGGGAGAAAGCUCAUAAAUCAAAAUAAACAAAGUAAUGAUACAGAAUCUUGUUUUUCCAUGAAAUUAUACUGGAAAAAAUGGACUAGAUUUCUACUCAUGCAUUAUCUAAGAGUUAUGUGCUUAUUAUUUAAUAUAGUUAUAAGUUGGCCAGAUGGCUGUGUGAAAAACAGUCAUUUAUUAAUCUUGGAGGAUCAAGAUUCAAUUCAGAGUCCUGCAUCUCAAAUUUUUCAAGGGAUAUGGGUUCAGGCUGGUUCAUUAACUAAAAUUAACCCAAUAAGUGAAUAAAAUACACGUAAAUAUGAUAAGAG
rnacentral:lncRNA from 1 species